ACUCUCUCUCAUCUCUCACUUUUUUCUCUUGAGCGGUCGAGUUGUUCCUUUGUUUCGUUCUUCUUCGCUAAUCCUUUUGGUAGGAAAUAUUUCAAUUAAAGGGUUCACUCAUGUUGCAGGCAUUGGGUUUCAAUGCAAUAUUACAGUUACAAGUAUCCGAAAAUGAAGUCUAAUGGAGAUGCCAACAAAUCAAAUAAUACAAAACCAUCUUCACAACAUCCUAUUCAAUUUCAGAAUGCUGCCACCACAGAAGAGUCGGGUUCAAGUUGUAUUUCGCCUACACAAGACACGUUCUGGACAUCAUGUCAUACGUGUAACAUACAGUAUGAGUACUAUAGAGUUUAUUUUAAUAGAGUUCUAGAGUGCCCUAAUUGUAAACAACCAUUCAAGGCUGUAGAAAUUCAAGCUCCAAAUAUAAGGUUUCCGUUUUCAAGUUAUUUUCGACCCAAUUAAAUAAGGUCGAAAAUUUUGGAAUGCAUAAACAAUAGAAAAGAGUUCCUUCUCAGUUACCAUGUCAUUUCUUUUGGCUUGAUUAAGUGUUUGAUUGGAAUAAUAAAU